GGGGGAUAACUACUGGAAACGGUAGCUAAUACCGCAUAACGUCGCAAGACCAAAGUGGGGGACCUUCGGGCCUCAUGCCAUCAGAUGUGCCCAGAUGGGAUUAGCUAGUAGGUGGGGUAAUGGCUCACCUAGGCGACGAUCCCUAGCUGGUCUGAGAGGAUGACCAGCCACACUGGAACUGAGACACGGUCCAG
rnacentral:rRNA from 1 species